GUGGGGAAUAUUGCACAAUGGGCGAAACUGAUGCAGCGACGCCGCGUGGGGUCUUCGGAUUGUCCCUUUCAGAAGGGACGAAGCGGAAGUGACGGUACCUGCAGAAGAAGCACCCUAACUACGUGCCAGCAGCCGCGGUAAUACGUAGUGUCCGACUGUUCACUAAAAUUCUUGAGGGUUAAAGAACUUGUUUGGGUUUUUCCACCUCCUCUGUGAUUCCCUCGGCUUAACCGGGGGCGUGCAGGCGAUACGGUGCAGACUUGAGUACUACAGGGGAGACUGGAUUUCCGGGUGGACCGGAGAAUUCCCCAUAUAUCAGGAGGAACACCUAUGACAAAGAGGGACUCUCUGGGCCCAACCUGACUCUGAGGAGCGACACAUGGGUAGCGAACAGGAUUAGAUACCCUGGAAGUCCAUGCUAAACGGUGGGCGCUAGGUGUGGGGUUCUUCCACGGACUCUGUGCCGUAGCUCACGCAUUAAGCGCCCCGCCUGGGGAGUACGGCCGCAAGGAAACUCAAAGGAUUG
rnacentral:rRNA from 1 species